GGUGAGAUGGGUGAGUGGCUGAAACCAGCAGUUUGCUAAACUGCCGUACGAGCAAUCGUACCGCGGGUUCGAAUCCCGCUCUCACCGCCA
rnacentral:tRNA from 1 species